rnacentral:lncRNA from 1 species
AAUAAUGGAUAAGAGAUCAGGAAUUGCUCUUCUUGUACUUCUUGUUGCAGUGUCCUGCCUUGCCAGUCCGUCUUCGGCUCGCGCCUUCACCAGUCUUGAUUUUCUCGCUCGAGGUAAUCGCCCAGCAACGCUGGAUGUAUGUAUCUACUAUAUGUAACGAAAAGUAUUGCUGAUAAGUCAACUUUUUUUAUUAAAAAAAAAGAUAUUAUCUUGCAUAUUUACUUAACAACAUAUUAGGAGAAAUAAACUUCAAAUUUAGUUAGUUUAUCACACUAGUAAUGAAAGUUCAGCUAUGGUCCUCUUACGAGAACAUGUCAGGGACCGAAAAGUCUAUGCUACGCAUGCAAUAUUCAUGUGCCUCUCAUAAGAGAGACGUGAAUAGUAUAUAUUCUAUCUUGUUCUCACUAAAUUAUCAAUAUUCAAUGACUAAAAAGUCUAUAUAUACUAUGCUUGUAAUAUUUAUACCUCUCAGAAGAGAAUAGUGGCUGGACUACUAGUAAUGACAUAAUCUAAUGUCUGCGGACUAAUCAAUCAUGAACAUGUUGCUGCUCUUUCUGCAUGAAGUGAUCAACGGAGAGAGAGUUACACUAACAGCCUGCAGCGAAUGCGUGUGUCCGCUGCAAACAAGUUCAUCUGAUGAUGAGUACAAAUGCUACUGUGCGGAUACUUACUCCGACUGCCCGGGCUUUUGCAAGAAAUGCAAGGCCGAGUUCGGAAAGUACAUAUGCCUCGACUUGAUCUCGCCCAACGAUUGCGUAAAACCGGUCUCCUCCUUGGAGGCGAAGCAAAAUAUGAUCAAGGAAGAGAGAGUUACACUAACAGCUUGUAGCGAAUGCGUGUGUCCACUACGAACAAGUUCAUCUGAUGAAGAGUACAAAUGCUACUGCACGGAUACUUACUCCGACUGCCCGGGCUUUUGCAAGAAAUGCAAGGCCGAGUUCGGAAAGUACAUAUGCCUCGACUUGAUCUCGCCCAACGAUUGCGUAAAACCGGUCUCCUCCUUGGAGGCGAAGCAAAAUAUGAUCAAGGAAGAGAGAGUUACACUAACAGCUUGUAGCGAAUGCGUGUGUCCGCUGCGAACAAGUUCAUCUGAUGAAGAGUACAAAUGCUACUGCACGGAUACUUACUCCGACUGCCCGGGCUUUUGCAAGACAUGCAAGGCCGAGUUCGGAAAGUACAUAUGCCUCGACUUGAUCUCGCCCAACGAUUGCGUAAAACCGGUCUCCUCCUGGGAGGCGAGGCAAAAGAUCAAGUUGCUGCAGGGUCGUGAAUGAGUGAAUAAGUGAGCAAGAGAUCGAAGUGCGUGUGAUGCAUAGUUAUAUAAGUAGCAAGUUAUGGGAUAUCGUAACUUGCUAAUGUAUUUGCAGCUUAAAUAAAUGGAUCUUGUGUGAUCCAUGCAUGAAUCUAUGUGCCUAUCUAUCUAUAAACUAUGCUUCCUUAUGUUCAUAAUGUGAAGUAGAAGAUGUACUAGAAUGGAUGUUUCGUAGUAUAAAAUUUGUGAUCGGUAUCCGUAUAAAUUAAUAUGUUCCUCUAAUAAAAAUGUACUCUACUUUAAUAGUUUAGUAGCUGGUACAUAUAAAACAUGGAAAAAUAGUAGGAUUAUUUCCAUCAAUAAUUUGGUUACAAACUCUAUUAAUUUUUCUUAACAAUACCACUUUGCAUCCUUAUGGGAGCAAACUUUUGUAACGCUGUUUAAAAAUCAUGCAAAUAGAUAUAACAUAAUAUAUAAAUUUAAUUAAAUGAUUUAUUCUGUACAAAACUCGGUGUAUAUCAUUAAUUGCAUCCAAAAGUCACUUAUUCAUGCAAUGGAAAUAACUAUAUAGCAAAAAAAAAAAAAGAAAAAAAAAGAGGUUUAUUCUAACAACCAAGUGUCGAAAGAAAAUUUCCUGUAUAUUGGGGUGUUUGGCCUAAUUUUUAAAAAACGCUUUUGGGUUGAAAAUUAGUUUUCGGCUCAAUAGAGUGUUUGACGAUCUAACUUUUAAAAUCUGAUUCUGUUUUAUAGAAUCAAAAAACUGAUUUUGAAAGCCCCAGAAUUAAAAACAGAAAAAACUAUUUUUUGAAAUCAGAUUAUGAUUUUUUACUCAAACAUCAAAUUUUUAUUUUACUCAAAAGCACCAUCUUCAUGGUACUUUUGAGAGUAUUCUAUCUCAACUCUCUCUCUCUCUCUCUCUCUCUCUCUCUCUCUAUAUAUAUAUAUAUAUAUAUAUAUAUAUAUAUAUAUAUAUAUAUAUAUNNNNNUAUAUAUAUAUAUAUAUAUAUAUAUAUAUAUAUAUAUAUAUAUAUAUAUAUAUAUAUAUAUAUCGGCUCCGUUAAAUAUGAUCUAAACCAUUUAAACUACCUAGAAAUCAAAUUUCACGCACUUUCGAUAUUGUUCUUUUAUCCAUCAAGUGAACAGAAAAAUGAAUGGCUGAAAAUGAAUACUCUUUAAAAAAUGAUGAUAGAAGUCUUGUAAUCAAGAUCAAGAGUAUAGAUCUUGUUUUAAAUAGGUUAAAGAAUUUUCUAAUAAAAAUUCAAUUAAUUUGGAUAUCUUUACGCCGUUAAACGAGAAAACGCUUCAUAUCGACCAUUAAAAUUACAAAAUUUGAACCCUUUGAUCAUUAGGCAAAUGAUGUCGAAAAGAUUUAAAAUUUGAUUUCUAAAUACUUCAAGCAGUAUAGAUUAUGUUCAACGAAGCCGAUCGUCAAUUUGGAAGUUCUAUCACCGAAAACAAAUCGGUAGUAAAACGGCUCGUUUACUACCGGUAGUAUUUUAGCUCAACUCAUAUAUAUAUAUAUAUAUAUAUAUAUAUAUAUAUAUAUAUACUACUAUACUAUCAAUAGUACCAAGCUCUUGGUACUAUUGAGUUUUCGGCCGUUGGAUGAAAAGAUGUGCGGUUAUGAUGAUAGUGGUCCCCGGUCAAAUUGAUAGUGGUCCCCUACGGUUGAGUGGGUGGUUGGCUUAAUAGUAUAAUCUAACGGGCGGAACUGAUCAAAGGGUAAAUCUAAUGGUAGAAAACUCAAUAGUACCAAGGGCUUGGUACUAUCGAUAGUAUAGUAGCUGGACUCUCUCUCUCUCUCUCUCUCUCUCUCUCUCUCUCUCUAUAUAUAUAUAUAUAAUAUUAUAUAGAGUGAGGUACUAUGCUAUCGGAAACAGAGGAGCUUUCCGUGCUUCCAGCUCGUUUCUUCGAUGUUGCGACUUUCGAAUCGUCGAUCGCUCGUUAAAUUUGAUCUAGAGUAUUGGAGUACCUAGAAAAUAAAUUUUAUUAUUUUUCGAAUCUAUUGCCUAGUGAUCGAAUGGGCUCAAAAUCAACAAUUUCAAUGACCGUAGUGAGCCGUUGCAAGUUUAACAGUGUAAAAAUAUCCAAAUCACGUGAAAUUUUGAUAGAAAAUUCUUUGUACUAUAUAAAAUAAGAUCAAUAUCUUUGAUUUAAAUUUUAAUUGUCAUUUAUUACAUUUUGUAAGAUUUUUAUUUUCGCCAUUGAUUUUGAGCCCCUUCGUUCACUAGGCAAAUGAUAUCGUAAAAUCAUAAAAUUUAUUUUCUAAGUACUUCAAAUACUCUAUAUCAAGUUUAACGGAGCCGAUCGACAAUUCGAAAGCUGCAACAUCGAAAUGAGCUAGAGCACAGAAGGCUUCGUGCUUCGAUAGCAUAGUAGCCUCACUCUAUAUAUAUAUAUUAUAUAUUAUUAUAUAUAAUAUAUAUAUAUAUAUAAUAUAUAUUCCGGCUUGGUGCUUGUAAAAGCACCAAGCACUUGGUGCUUGUAAGUUUUUUACCGUUGAUCUACUCAUCGGAUCAUUUCAACCAUAGAUUAUACUAUUCAACAAACCACCCACUCAACCCCAGGGGGCCCACAUCACUCACCGCAUAUCUUUUAAUCAAUGGCUAAAAUCUACAAGCACCAAUAACUUAAUACUUUUAAAAGCAUAGGAGUUGAAUUAUAUUUAAUAUAUAUAUAUAUAUAUAUAUAUAUAUAUAUAUAUAUAUAUAUAUAUAUAUAUAUCCCAAUAAUUGAUGCAAUAAGAAACACUAACACAGGUGACAAAAAGUACAUUAGUUAGUAUUCAAAAGUUCUAAAUUGUAAAUUUAAUUGCUUUUAUUUUAACUAAAUUUAUUUCUAAAAUAAUAAUAAACAAAAUGAUUAGUAUGCUAGCUACUAAUCUUUUAAAAUAAAAAAAAGAAUUAAUAACUGUGCUUACGUGUACAACAAUAUAAUCAUCGAUAAUUAUGUGGGCAUCAGAAAUAUUCUCACUUUGAGAGAUACAUAAAAUUAGAGAUUAUUUUUGUGAAAAUAAUAAUAUUCAUUGCGUAAGCAAAAUUAUUUUAGAACAUCAUGGCCAAUUUGCAUAAGAAAUUUACAAGUUUUGAAUUUUUAUAAAAUUGGACCGUCUUUUUCGAUUUUAUACAUUCGGUCCGGAUUUUCAGUAAACUGAUCCAAAUAUCUUUAUAUUUUUUUCUCCCUCUUUUUUUUUCUAGUCUUUUUUUUUUUCUCUUCGAAGAAGGCGGCGGAGGCGGAGGCGGAGGCGGAGGCGGAAACGGCCAGCCUCGCCUCUGCCCCUCACUCCCUCACCCUCGCCUCAACACCCCCUCGCCCUCCUUGCCUCCAACCCCGCCAAGGCCUUGCCGCGACCUUUUUUUUUUUUUUUUUUUUUUUUUUUUUUUUUUUUUUCUCUCUCCAACCCUCCUCCAUCAUCUCCGCGGCCCUCUGCGACGAUUGUGAGGAUGGUAUUACGUUCUCUUCCUUCACCUUCGCCCUUCACCUCCACUGCAGUAUAUUUUCUAUCCGCCAAACAAACCCGCCGUCCCCACCACCGCCACCGGCUACGAAGAGGAAGUGUUUAUCGGGGCCGAGAAGUAUGCCGGCGAGGGAGGGGGAGAAAAAUUGUUACACUCCGACGAUAGCGGUGGCUGCGAUAGAGAGUAAGAGAGAAAUCGUGACAAAAAAAAUAUAAACAGAAAAAAAAUAAGAAUAAUAAAAAUUAAAAAUUAAAAGUUAAAAAUAUUUUUUUUCCUACAGGAAAGGCCAAAAAUCAUAGAUAAGGAACAAAAAAAUGAAAUUGUACUGUUAAAAAAAAAGUUACACUAUUGUAAAAAAUUUUUUGCCCUGUUUUAAAUAAAAGUUGUACUUUUUGAGACAAAUUACAGUUUUCGAAAUAAGAGUUAUACUCUUUAGAAAAAAGUUGCAUUCUUUGGGUGAAGGGGCAGAGGUGAGGCGAGUCAUUUCUGCCUCUGCCUCCUCCUCCGCUUCUGCCGCCUUCUUCGGAGAGAAAAAAAAAAAAAAACGUGAGAAAAAAAAGAGAGAGAAAAACUUGUUAAAAAUUUAAAUCGAAUCUGCAAAAUCAAAAAAGAUGGCCCAGUUUUAUAAAAGUUCAAAACUUGUGAAUUUUUUAUACAAAUUUGCCAAACAUCAUUAAUUCAGAAGAGAAGAGAAUUACUUAAUAUAUACCAAUAUUGCUGGAGCAUUAUAUCAACAUAUUUUCAUACUGGAAUGAAAGAUCAAAGAUUAAUUUGUUAAUAAUAAAUAUAUAACAUAUGCUUAUGCAAUUAAUGUGGACUUAUGAGAUCAUUUAAUGGCUCCAACUUGUGUUACAUUAUGACCCAUGCUAUCCAUGUGGUUGUAUUUAUAGGAUUAGGAAAUUCAAUAUUAGAUCCAUAAUUUAUUCACAAGUUGGAAUGGUUAUCUCUGGCCAUUACAGCUGAGCUUCCCUUAUGCAAAAAUCUAUAUUUCAUGCCCUCAAUAAAAAAAAUGAUGUGACGACGGACAACCUAAUUAAAAAAUGAUGGACGAAACUAUCAGCCUGCGUAUUAUAUGGGAUGGAGGAGAAAAUAAUGGAUCACUUAUAAAAAUUCAAACUAAUAGAAAUAUAUGUACAUAACAAAUGUACUUAAAGGUACCGUUUGGUUCGGGUAUAAGCAAGAACUAGCUAUUACAGGGAUAGGUACAAGUAUGGGGAUAAGAAAAAUAGCGUUUGGAUGAAAAUUGGGUUGUUCCCGAGGAUAAGAAAAAUAUUAUGAAGUUUUAUAUAGAAAAUGAAGGUGUUGGUGGGGAUAAUCGAGAACUACUAUUCUCGGGUAAAAAAUUAGCGUUUGGAUAUAAAGGGAGGGAUAAGGGCCUAUUCCUAUUCCUGUUCCCAAACCAAACAGUGCCAAAGAGUACAUACAAUUUAUGAGCUUUAAUUGUGACUUGACUCACUCAGUCUCACCCCACUUCAAAAAGGGCUCGGCAUACUCCGGCCUCACGUCAUUUUAAAUGUAUUUAGCCCCUUUAAGCCAACAGAAUUUACGAUAUGAGAAAUAUAAUAAGCAGAUUUAGAGUUAAAGUACUUUCUAAGAGAAAAAUAUUUAUUGUUCUUGUUGACGAUUAAUUAUAAACAAGAUAUUUUCGUCGAUGAAUAUAAACCAAUGGUUUAUAUAUAUUUUUAAUCUUUAAAACGAGGAGGUUUGCUCACUUAUUUUAUUAACUUUUUUUUUUUUUUUUUACAUGGAGAGAGACAGAACCAUUAAUCUUAUAUUUUCAUGUCGGAUCUUUCGAGAUAACGUUGGUGCUAAAUACAACUUAAAUCCACGUACGUUUUCAUAUUUUUGUGUGGGACACGUUCGUUUUCAUAUUUUUGUGUGGGCCAACUUUUUCCAUAUCAAGGGAGGUUGGUGGGUAGGCAACGCCUCGAAUUCGGGACGAAUUUUUAAGAAUUCAAAUUUGAAUCCGACUAUAAAUCCAAAAUUUGAAUCUGAAUUCGAAUUUAAAUUAGAGAGAUUUUAAAAAUUCAUAUUCAAAUUCAACCCAACCGAAAAUUUAAAAUUCGAACCUAAAAAUUUGAACGCGAAAUAAUUAUUUCUUUUUAUACCGUACUUCAAAACAUAUUACAUUAAAUCUAACAUUUUAAAAUACAACUUCAAAUAUAAUAUUAAAUAUUUAUAUAUAUUAUAUAAUGUAAAAUUAAUUCGAGUUCGUGACAGGUUCAAAUUCGGAUCGGAUACAGACAAAAUUUAUAUUCAAAUCCAAAUCCAUCAAAUUUUUAUUUGUUAUAUUUGUUUCGAAACUACAUUUAUUUAGCAUGAGAUAAGUUCCCUCCUUUUGGGUUCAGAUUCGAAUAUAAUUUUAGGUAUCCGUACCCAUCAACAUCUCUAUUGCGAGAUAAAACUUGUUGAUGUGAAACAAUAAAAACCAAAAGAAAAAACAAGAAGUUGGUAAUUAAUAGCCUAUAAAUAGGGCAAGGGCAAAGAAAAGGGAGAAGCAUCAGCUGUAGAGGGAAAGAGCCAGCAAUAAUGGAUGCAAAUAAGAGAUCAGGAAUUGCUCUUCUUGUACUUCUUGUUGCAGUGUCCUGCCUUGCCGGUCCGUCCUCGGCUCGCACCCUCACCGGUCUUGAUUUUCUCGCUCGAGGUAAUCGUCGCGCAACAACGCUGGAUGUAUGUAUCUACAUAAUAUAACAAAAAGUAUUACUGAUAAGUCAACUUUUUUUGUUUAUUAAAAAAAAAGACACUAUCUUGCAUAUAUACUUAACAACAUAUUAGGAGAAAUAAACUUCAAAUUUAGUUAGUUAUCACACUAGUAAUGAAACUUCAGCUACGGUCCUCUUAUGAGAACAUGUCAAGGACUGAAAAGUCUAUAUAUACUUCGCACAUGCAAUAUUCAUGCCUCUUGUAAGAGAGAGAUGAAUGCUAUAUAUUCUAUCUUGUUCUCACUAAAUUAUCAAUAUUCAAUGACUAAAAAGUCUGUAUAUACUAUGCUUGUAAUUUUUAUGCCUCUCAUAAGAGAAUAGUGGUUGGACUAUUAGUAAUGAUAUUAUUUGAUGUUUGCGGACUAAUCAAUCACGAAUGUGUUGCUGCUCUUUCUGCAUGAAGUGAUCAAGGGAGAGAGAGUUACACUAAUAACCUGCAGCGAAUGCGUGUGUCCACUGCAAACAAGUUCAUCUGACGAAGAGUACAAAUGCUACUGCACGGAUACUUACUUGAUCUGCCCGAUCUUUUGCAAGAACUGCAAGGGCGAGCUCGGAGAGUACAUGUGCCUCGACAUGGUCUCGCCCAACCAAUGCCUAACAUCGGUCUCCUCCUCGGAGGCAAAGCAAAAGAUCAAGUUGCUGCAGGGUCGUGAAUGAGUGAAUAAGUGAGCAAGAGAUCGAAGUGCGUGUGAUGCAUAGUUAUAUAAGUAGCAAGUUAAGGGAUAUCGUAACUUGCUAAUGUAUUUGCAGCUUAAAUAAAUGGAUCUUGUGUGAUCCAUGCAUGCAUCUACGUACCUAUCUAUCUAUAAACUAUGCUUCUUUAUGUUCGUAAUGUGAAGCAGAAGAUGUACUAGAAU